GUUAUUCGGUAUCUCCGUGCGAGAGCAUCGCCGUCGCCAUCGUUUGGCGAAAAAAUUGUGAAAAACCCGUCGAGGGAAUUAUUGUGCGCGGUUUAGAAGUGAUUUUCGGCUUGAUUAGCUUCGCGAAUGUGUCGGACAUAGAAUGCAGAUUUCACUGCACUAAACGCCACCGUGUUUAAGGAUAAUUUAGUCCCCACGCGAAUCCGACCUUGAGUCGCAUGUGCCUACAACGAACGAACAAAAGGCAAAAUCUCCGAAACUUCGCAGAAAGGUAGACGGUACGAGGAAGCACGGAACCGAUCAUCGGUGAAUUUUAUUCAACAGGCUGACAACCGAAUAGUAGAAGCUCACUCAAAAGCCGGAGAAGCGAGCCACAACUUCGUCUGGUGGAAAUCGUUCCUGUUUUUUUUGACACCAAUUGGGAUCCAGACUGAACCAAAGCACCCCAUCCAUUGGGGUGUUUGUGUGGUACCGAAACAGUUGGACGGUUUCAGACGGAAACCUCGUCAUCGACAACGAGUACGUCAAGGGCCUCGGAGGGACCCCAUCCAGCAUCCCGGUCGCGCUGGACGGCCAGAGGGGUCUCCAGCGGAGGAAUCAGCCUUGCGGGUCGUGUGGAGAGCGACGACGCGGCGAACAGAUGGUGGAAGGCGUGCAUAUUGCGGCGGUAGACGGCCGGCCGCGACAGGAAUCGGCACAAUAGGGGGACGCCCCAAGUAGCCGGUACCGUGAGUACGGAGAAGAAACCGUGAGUAAGAAAACUGAGGUGUUUUGUAAAGUAGGAAAAUAGAGAAAGAGGAGUGAAAGGGAAAGAAGAUAAGAUGACUAGGAGGUAGGAAGUAACAGAGGAAAAUGGGUGCAUUACCCUAAAUACAUGUAUUAAAUUGAGAUUUGUGGUUAU